UACGUAGGGGACGAGCGUUGUCCGGAAUUACUGGGCGUAAAGGGCGAGCAGGCGGUAUAUCAAGUCAGCUGUCAAAGACUGGGGCUCAACCCUGGUAUGCGGUUGAAACUGAUAUGCUGGAGUGCUGUAGAGGCAAGUGGAAUUCCCAGUGUAGCGGUGAAAUGCGUAGAUAUUGGGAAGAACACCGGUGGCGAAGGCGACUUGCUGGGCAGCAACUGACGCUGAGGCGCGAAAGCCAGGGGAGCAAACGGGAUUAGA
rnacentral:rRNA from 1 species